rnacentral:rRNA from 1 species
CCUACGGGGGGCUGCAGUGGGGAAUAUUGGACAAUGGGCGCAAGCCUGAUCCAGCAAUACCGCGUGUGUGAAGAAGGCCCUAGGGUUGUAAAGCACUUUCAAUUGGGAGGAAAACCUGUCGGUCAAUACCCGGCAGCUUGACAUUACCUUUAGAAGAAGCACCGGCUAACUCCGUGCCAGCAGCCGCGGUAAUUCGGAGGGUGCAAGCGUUAAUCGGAGUUACCGGAGGCGGAUCGUUAAGUCAGAUGUGAAAGCCCCGGGCUUAACCUGGGAACUGCAUUUGAAACUGGCGGACUUGAGUUGAGUAGAGGGGAGUGGAAUUUCAGGUGUAGCGGUGAAAUGCGUAGAUAUCUGAAGGAACACCAGUGGCGAAGGCGACUCCCUGGACUCAAACUGACGCUGAGGUACGAAAGCGUGGGUAGCAAACAGGAUUAGAUACCCUAGUAGUC